rnacentral:rRNA from 1 species
UACGAAGGGUGCAAGCGUUACUCGGAAUUACUGGGCGUAAAGCGUGCGUAGGUGGUUUGUUAAGUCUGAUGUGAAAUCCCCGGGCUCAACCUGGGAACUGCAUCCGAGACUGCAUUGCUAGAGUACGGCAGAGGGGGGUGGAAUUCCACGUGUAGCAGUGAAAUGCGUAGAGAUGUGGAGGAACACCGAUGGCGAAGGCAGCCCCCUGGGCCGAUACUGACGCUCAUGCACGAAAGCGUGGGGAGCAAACAGG